UACAGAGGGUGCAAGCGUUGUUCGGAAUUAUUGGGCGUAAAGGGCGCGUAGGCGGUGCUGUAAGUCUGUAGUGAAAUCUCUGGGCUCAACUCAGAGUCUGCUAUAGAAACUGCAGUGCUGGAGUGUGGGAGAGGUGAGUGGAAUUCCCGGUGUAGCGGUGAAAUGCGUAGAGAUCCGGAAGAACACCGGUGGCGAAGGCGGCUCUCUGGGACGGUACUGACGCUGAGACGCGAAAGCGUGGGGAGCGAACAGG
rnacentral:rRNA from 1 species